UAUAUCCGAAAGCAAACAAAACACACACACAGACUCAUAUACCCCCCCCCUCCACACACACACACACACAAAGAAGCACGGAAAGUCAACCAUAGCAAGAAAAAGCAGUUCUUACCAUUAUCCAUCCCUGCAGCAAGAGAGAGAGACAGCGGGAGACUCCCUCCCCCUCCCCCACACACACUCUCCCGUGUGCUCUGUCCGAAUCAGCGCACACACACACACACGUUUCCCCUCACCACUUCAGACAGGUCCAGAGCACAGAUCAACUUUCAAUUCGCCCUUUUUCUACCCCCCCCUCCGACAACAACAGAAGAGAAAACAAGAUUGAAGUUACUUGCAUCGCAAGGACGCACAAGACAGCCUACUUAUUGCCGCACCCCACGCCUCUCCGUCUGUCCGCCACUGCUACUUGAUAGCGCAUUUUGCUGUUUUUGUGCGUGCUUGCGUUUGUGCUUGUCUGCCUGUCUCGUAUCUGCCUGUCCGUCAAAACUUUUAUUUUUGGGAGCUGAUUCUCGUGUCAUCGGUAUCUUUCCAUUUUCCUCAUACACAGAUACACACAAUCCCCCUCCCCCAUCGCGGCCCCUCACCUCUUCAUCCUGCUGGCGUCUUUCGAGCCCCGCACUACCACCACCACCAUCACCCAACCCACUCUCUCUGGCUCACUCCCUCUGCAUCUCUCUAUAUCUGUGCCAUUCACUUUGAAACAAAGCGGUGCUUCUUCUCCCUCCCCACUCGCCUUCCUUUCUGCCCCCUUUUUUUGCUCUCCUUGUCAGUGUUGUGCUCCCUUUUUCGUGUGUGCCUUCGUUUUCUCUGUGUCUUGCGUGCGCCUCUCAGCCGAUUCUGCGUUGCCACUCUCUCUCUCUCGCUCUUCGUUUUUUUUUAUGUUUGCUCACUUGCCUCCCUUUCGUUUGUGGGUCUCUCUCGCGUUAUCUCUUUGCACUUUUCACUCUCAUCUCUGCUUGGCCGGUCUUUCGGGUUCACAAGAAUUUGUCUAUUUUGCCUUCGCUGUUGCCGUUGGUGCUGACGCUGGUGCACCGCCCGUUGUUUUCACCCUCCCUCUCCCUUUCCCGUUAGUCUUUUCUCGUUCUAGCCCUCUCUGUUUCUCUCUCGCAUCAUCUCUGUCCGUCUACCUUGUUGUCGUCUGGCAAUUGAUUGCCAUUACCUCGUUAUUGUUGCUCUCGGCCUUUUCAUCAUCGCUUGUGCGCACGCGUGUGUGUGACUCUCUCUAUAUCUGCUUCGACCACGUUUGAAAUUGCAAGCGUGUCUCCCCGAGCAAUCUCUCCAUCAGUCUCUCUCUCCUUGUCAGAGUGGGUCUCCUUCUUGUCGUUGUCUGCGCGCUGGCACUGGCGCCUCAGUUUGUGUGCUCGUGCGUGCGCUGUCUUGUAUGGUUGCGCGCGUGGGAAGGUACGAAAAAAGGAGAACGUAAAGAGAAAGAGCGAAGGACGGCCUUUCUCCCUCCACACUUCCCUUCCCUCCCCCUGCCCCCGUGUCUUGUUUGCCUUGCGUAGCACGGCUGUGCUUCUUUGUCUUUUUGAACCGGAAGUGCCUUCUAUACACACGCCCCGCCCUUUUCUGCGACUCGUCAACGCCAUUCCUUUGUGCCCUUGUUCUUUUUCUUUUCUUGUUUUCGUCGACGGCGCCUGUUGCCCGCAUCCCUUUCUCUCUCUCAAUCCCGCCAUCUGUGCCUGUUGCCUGUGCCUUGCCUGACUGUUCUCAUCCCCUCCCUUCGCUCUCGUCGAACCACAGCAGCGUAGCCGAUAGCUUGAGGACAAGCACAGUGCCGUGGGCCACAAGCCGCUAGCUCCGCUCCAAAAUCCAAAAAGAGGAAAUCGCUACACGGCGCAUAUCCUCCUAGCGAUCUCACACGAACUCAAACGCCCCUUCACACCUCCAACCCGCUCAUCACCGACAUUACCGACCACCUCAGGCGCAAUUCCAUCCGAAGCGAAACAGUCGAACGAAUACACAUAGACACGCACACACACACACACACACAUAGGAACAGCAGCAGCGCCGCGUUGUCGCGCUGACAUACGCGCACAAAGAAAAAGGCGAAGCAACGAAACGAAAAAAAAACGAACAGCAAAGGGCAGGGCGACAGAUCCCACAUCAGGUAAUCAGAAAAGCAGGAAGAAAGCGUUAAGUGAAAACGCGAUACCGCAGGAGUCGUAGAACAAAACAAAGAACGAAAACGAAAAGAGGGAGAAGAACAGCGGGGCUUUACACAGACACAUUCACGUACUCAAAGUAGUGUGCGCCGAAAAGAGAGAUCAGGUCCCCUUGUCUUUUUUUUUGCGCAUCUGAACAAACUAUACAGGAACUUGUACAUACUAGUGUUGGUAUUUUCUCUUCCUCUGGCGCCUCUUUUUCUCUUGGCGUUGUCUUCUCUCCGCUUGUCAGUGCAGAGUCGCCUGCCAUUCACUCUCCCCUCCUCCUCUUGUAUAUUGUGCCUUGUGACUCUCUCCCUCUCGGAGUUUGUGUGGACGUUCGGUGAUCUCUUUCGACAACCCCUCUUUUGUUUUGCGUGCCGGGUUUUCUCUCGUAGCUUCGCUCUUUUCACGCGUUUUUUUUUUGGCUUUUCCUCUUCCUCUUGAGCAUACACCGUUGCCACGGCGCGUGUGUGUCGGUGUGGCCGCAUCGUUUCUGUCCACUCUGCCUCUGCCUCUCUGUACGUCUGUGUGUCGACGGGAUUCGAUUGCUUUCUUCGCUGGACCUCUUCUCCUCCCCCUCACUCUCCUCUUCCGCUCUGCAUCUCUCCUGCCACUGUGGCACUCGAGGGUGUCACUCUUUUUGGUUGUUCGCCUCUUUGUUGUCUCCCUCUGCAGCAUUGUGUGCUGACCGGUCGUCUGUUGUGUGUGCGCUGCUGUGUGGCGUCGUCCCUGUUCCUCGUUUACUGUUCUUUUUUUUCUACACACUUUCCGUUCUUCGCAUUCGUUUCUCCUCUUUCCUCUCUACGCCCCCUCUUCACCUGAGCGGUUUCAAGGAUUGUGCGGCUUGCCUCUCUCUCUCUUUCUUCCCUCUCCGCCUUGCCUGCACUGAUAAGAACGCACACAUAUAUAUAUGUAUACAGCUCCCUCUAUCUCGUUCUCUUCUUUUGCUUGUUUUUUUUUUUCGUAAUUCGCACAUAAAGCUCACGCCAAGUUGCUUUAUCUCUAGUAGAGACAGAGAAGACGAAAAACGAAGUAGAGAAAAGUAAGCACGAAAGAGAGGCGGAAACUGCUCUCGUUGACUUAGGCCACCACCACCAUCACCACCCUUUCCAUCUCUCUGGCUGUGCAUCUAUCCUCUCCUUAGUGGUGGCGUUACUGUGUAAGCUGCUGCAGGUCAUCUCUUUACGUCCUCUCUAUUUCUCUCCGUCCCCUUCGGCUCCUUUGCCUCUGCGCGUGCGCGUGUGUUUUUGUUUCAUUCUUUUUUCCCUUUUUUGCCCUCUCCCCCUUCCCCUCUCCUCCCCCUCCCCCACCCACGCAAACACACACUCACGCCCCACAUCGGUCUCCCUCCCUCCCUCUCCCUCUGCCAUCAUCUGUGGGCCUCCUUUCUUUGUCGCUCGCUCUUCCCUUUUUUUUCUCCCUCUUUCACAGGAUCACCUUUUAAUAUAAAGACACAACGAAGCAACGAGCGGAAUAGAAAGGAAAACAGCCUCACUGUACACACAAGUACAGACACACACACACGGACACGGAGCACCCAACCGCAUAUCAUCACGCCAAUUAUAUUGUUUUCUUCUGUUGUUCGUGUGAGUCUUCUUUCCUUGCACGCCGUUUUCAUCUCUUUUCUUUCCAAGUUUAUGCAAGGCUGACACUACGCUCUAUUUAUCACCUCUCCUUCCCCCCUCUUGACUCUGCCUCUCUUUCUCUCGCUUUUUCUUCUUGGCGUUGCCAGUCUUAUACCUCUUGCUCUUGUCGGUGGCCUCGUGUUUGUGUGCGUGUGUGUCUGCCUGUGUGUUCUGUUCGUUGUUCGCUGUCCUCCACACACCUCUCUUUGCGUCUUAUUUUUCUUUCUUAGUCGCUUGCUUUCAAGAGCAGCUGCUCUGUAUUUGUUGUUGCUGCUGUCUUCGUUCCCCUGUUCAUCUUCGUUUCUCUGCUGCUGCUUGACUUUCUAUCUGAAGGUGCACUGCGGUGGUGCUGCCGCCCUUAAUUGUGGGUUGUUGCUUGUGCACGUGUGAGCAGCAAAGCAUUCCAUUCUCUUCUUUUCCAUCGUUCUCCCUCUCUCCUCAGCACCAACCACGGAGAACGGAAAAGAGAGCCGUUCACGCUUCUGCUGUGUAUGCGUGCCGCAGGUUUAUCGUCGUAAGCGGUUUCAUUGAGAUACCACUCCGAAUACUUUCAUAGACGACGAGGGAAAAAAAACAUAAGACACGCGCUCCACUCCUGCAAGUGUGUGUGUGUGGGCGCGCGCGCUGUUGUUGUUGAAGCGACGCCUUGAUUGUUUUCGCGCUUCGCGCAGUGCUUGCUUUGCCUUCCGCCUCUUUGCGCUCCUCUGCUUUCUCCCGUUGCUCUUCCGGCUCAUUGUGUGGGCGUGUUCACUUGGGUAUUCGAGGAAAGGGGGGGGGUGCUCCGGCUCUCCUUUCCACAUACGCACAUACACAGCAUAUAUAGAGUGCAGAGGGUGCACUAUAGAAACCAGGCGCGUCGGCGCCCGUGCGUCCGUGCAUACAUUCGCUUUGAGAGCGGCGCAUAAUCAUUGGUGUCUCUUCCGCAUAAUUCUUGUUGCUGCCGCUGCUUUUAUUAUUAGGCCCGCUAUCGUUGUGCGCGCGUGAUUGGGGGAAUUUGGCGUUGGAAGUCCCCCUCCUUUUUUGCGGGGUUUCUGUAUCCAAGCGUGCAUGCGUGUCUGUGUCCGUCUGCAUCUGCGUUCGUGUGUGUCUCCUUUCCUUUCCCUCAUCCUGUGAUGGUGGGCUGAUCUCUUCUCGCCUUUCUGUUCUUCUAUUUAUAUUGCUGUCGACGUGAUCCGGGAUCGUCCUUCUGCAUCAUAGUAUUGUCUCUUGUGUUGUUGAUCAUCAUUUACGUUUGUUCUCGUCUUCAUCCCACCCUCCCUUUCCGUGUUUGUGUGCGUGCGUGACGGCCCGCGCUUGCGUUCCUUCCAUUUCGCUCGCUCUCUCUCGUUUUGUCGACACCAGUAACCGGCAUCAGCUCGCCCUGCCUCGUCUCCAGGUCUUCUUUCCUUGAGAAACGUCUGCGUUCCCCCCCCUCCCCCCGACUCCCCCCGCACCGCCUACACCGACAAGCGUCCCUUUUCUCCUGUGGGCACGCAGCAGUGAAGAAGAUUUCCGCUGUUCCUGCGGGUUGCCUGCGCGUACGUGGCUGACACCCACACCGACACACCACUCUUCAGCGCGGGCUUUGUUGCACCCAGUUUUGUCCGUUGUGGCACUUGUUUUGUGUGUGCUUGCGUUAGUCUGUGCCGUUCUCUCGCUUCCUUCCUUUUCGCCUUUUCAUCUUCCGCUCAUUGCGUCUCCGUGUCUUCGCCUCGUCGCCGUCUUCGUCUCUUUCUCUGUCACCCUUCCCGUCUUUUUCGCUUCACCCGUUGCGUGUCGUCUUUUCUUUUUUUUUUUCGCGUCGUCCGCGAUUGCGUUGCGCCUCGUCGGGUGGUAGUGGUCGUGCCUGCUUCCGUGGUGCUGUCGAAGAGACGUUGACGAUUAUUUCGCCUGUUUCGUUCCCCAUCGGCUUGCGCUGCGCACAACUGCGGCGAAGGAGUGCGCCCCCUUUUUUGGUGCGUUCUCGCCCUGUUCUUUCGGAUCGUCUUUCUGUAUCUUUGACGGCCGCCUCCCUCAUCGCGUCACCAUGGAGACGAAUCGGCCACCUUCGACGGCGAAGUGGGUGAGCCGACGCACGCUUGACAGUCAGGCGAACAACCGCGAAAACAACGCAGGACUGACGCACCCGCGCGGGUCCAACUCAGACAAAAACCCGAACAGCGCGAAUCAUCACCACGGCGCGGAGAAGCGUAGGUAUGGGCACGCCCCAGAUGCUGUCAUUGCGGCAAUCGGUCGUGGCAGCGGCAGCGGCAAUGCUGGCGGCGCCGCUGCCGCUGACAACUCGCCGUCCGCACCGUUCCACACGAACGGCGGCUGCGGCAAUAACCGGUUUGGCAUCUCAGGCAGUGGCCACGGCGGCGGUUGGGGCAGCAACGCUCCCAACUCACAUGCCACAAACAACGAACUCAACCACCAGGGUAACACGUUUGCCACGAACACCGUUAACGCUCAUGGACCACACAGCAACGGCAAUAAUAACGCCAAUGGCGGUAGCCGUCGCGGCUAUGGGGCCGGUGGUGGGUAUGGAGAGGCGACAGAGCCGACAAUCCCGCCACCGCCGCGAAGCGUGCAGAUGGGGCAGGGCGCCUUGGCUGCCCAAGCCGCCGCGGCCACCUCGCGGGAUUUUAUUCCGCAGCCGCGCCACGCAAAGGCAAACAGCAGCGCCAGCAGCCACUCUCUGAAGUCGAUGGAAGCAUCACCGCCUCCUCCUGGCGCCGUGCCUUCUGUGCCUCCUGCCACCCACAGCCCUAGCUCGACCCCAGCGCUACGCUGGGGUUUCAACGCCACCCCAACACCACGCAGCGCGAACGGCGGCGCAGCAACGCCGAACGCACCCCCAUUGGCUUAUACUGCCGCCUCCCACUUCGACGCGCUGGCGGGGCUCCUCGCUCCCAAGUCAGCUACACCGUCGCCCCUCGCGAGCGCAGCAGACGGUGGUGGCCCCGAGGCAACGGUUGCUGCCCAAGCACCUCCGCCUUUCACGGCCGCACCGCUGGCGUUUACCACGACGGUGCCCUCCGUCAACGCCUCUCUCGCCUCCACCGCACCAGGCGCAGGUGCUCCAGCGCCACUGCGGUCGUUCGCCGCCACUAGCGCCGUGAAUGUCGAGCCCUCGCCUCUCGAUUCGUUUCACAUCGGCGAAAACCUCAGCUUCGGCGCCUCCGCAUUCGGCGGGUCGCUGCACUCGCAGCCGUCCGAGAUUGAGACGCUGCUGGGCCAGGUGGAGCGCAGCGCGGGGACGCUGCCGGCGGGGGCGGCAGGUGAGCGCGUGAUAGGCGGCUCGCUGCGCGAGCGGCGCUCCGUGACUGACUGGGGCAUCGAGGAGGCGAUCCGGACGGUGCUGCCGGGGAUGGACGAGGACGAGAGCUCGGACAACAUGCAGGGCCCGAAUUUCUCUGGCGGCAUCGCAGCCAUCACCGGCAACUGGCACACGUCCGGCGAUGUCGAGGCGCAACCUGUCGCCAGCGGUGGCGUCAGUGGCCUGCUGGCCGACUUCCCCACAUCAUUUGCUGCGUCCUUCUCAGAGCCUGCGAGCACGUUGCUGCAGUCGCCCUUCGCCGCAGAUGCAGCCUCGAACACGAUGGACAAUCUUAGUCGGGCCUUCAGUACCGCUGCCCGCGUGGAUUCCUGCUCCUUCACUACGUCGCCAGCCACCACGACGGCGACCCCGCUGCAGCGCCCUCCAACGUCGCCGGGGGUGCGGCUGCCAAAUCGCGUCACACCGGUAGAGUCAAUGUCGAUGCCGCCCUCGAUGAGGGAUUUGGCGCACCCUGGCGGCAACCCCUACACGGCUCCCACAGCGACGCAGCCGCCGCCGCCGCGGUCUGCCAAGUCGGAGGUCUCAGCGCGCGUCGAGGAUCUGCCAGGCGCCGGGCAGGGCGGCAGCAGCGAAUUCUUCAACCUCUACACCCUGCCGCCGCCAGCGACCACGUCUCCGUGGCUCUCGUCAGGGAUCGGCGAGUCAGCGGCGCCGAUGGCGCCUGUGAACCGCACAAGCGAUUCCAUGACCGCCAAGCUACCAGGGCACCGCUCGCCGCGCACGACUGCGGCUCGACCAGAGAGGCUGCAAGCGAUCCCAUUGAAAGAAGGGAGCAUGAACAGCAACGGAGGGCUGACGACGACGACCGGCAGCACCACAAGCCCUGCUUUGGCGGCGGCCCGCCAGUCCAGCACCUCCAGCCACGGCGGCUCGGCGCCCAACACGCCGUCCCUGCGCAAGGAGCUCUCGACGCCGCUGUCAGGGAGCCGCUCGCAGCCCUACACGCCGGGCGGCUCGCGCCCGCAGCGCCCCUCCCUCUCCGCCCCUCUCGUCAACCGGCACACCAUCACUCACAUCUUCCGCGAGACGCCGCAGUCGCUGCGGCGCAGGGAGCGUAUGGAGCACAACCACUAUCACAGCGACCAGGCACUGUGCAAGGAUUUCCACUGGCCCCCGCACGACGAGGCGGAUGCAGAGCACAUGCUGCGGGAGCGCAACGCGACAAAGCUGCUGCGUCACCUCACCAUAAUCAGCUUCUCCCGGCAGCACGUCAGCGGGGUGCAGGAGCUGUUCGACACGUGGGCCAAGAAUGGCAUUCCCGCGCCGGACAUGGGCUUUGGCGCGUACUACUUCUACGUCAAAGAGAAGAGCGAGAAGCUACUGUGCAUGAAGCACAACGGCCGAGGUGCCUCCCCGGGCCACGGCUACGGGCGGUGCGACUUUGAGAGUCGCCGCCCGUACAGCACGUGCCGCUACGAGCACGUGUGCCUCUUUUGUCGCUCUAAGGAGCACGGCUGGUUCGAGGAGGGCAAGUGCCAAGGCUACCAGCAGCUGCUGACUGAGAUGGAGGAAUUAGGGGUCACCGAGGAGGACGUUGUGACGCUGCUGAACGCGAUGGAGAGGCCGGCGAAGCCAACGCGAUCCAGGUAAAGCCCCACCUCUCCCCCGCACGCGCGCAGCCAUCUUUCGUGUGGCAAUCAGCGACGCUCUUCGCAUAUAUGCUUAUCGGUCGCGCUCCUCUGACAGACGCCACGCACGCACGUACUAGGCGCCUCGUCGAGCUCGCCCCUGUCCGUCACGUACGUCUGCAGGGUCGAGGAACGUUGCGGUUAGGCGGCGCAUUGUGGAGAACAUUUUUGCUUUCCUCUUUUUUUUCUUGGUUACCGCGCAUUCAUGCAGGCCCCUGUGUAUUCGCGCGUGCGUGCGUGUGCAUGAUCGUCCUUCUUAGCCGAAAACGUGUAUGUAAAGGUGUACAUCAAGGGUGGGAUGUGUACGCACCCGUAUAUUUAUCUAUGUAAUCUGUGGUGUGUUUAGUUGCGUGAUUCGUUGUCAUGGAUGCCGUUGCCGCCUUUUGAUGAUCAUACCGUUGUGUGUGCGUAUGCCUGUACGCGUAUGUGUUACCGCGUUGCGAUCGCAACGGCGUCCUUUUCUAUACCUUUCUGUAUAUAUAGCGUCGCGCUGGCGUGUGUACACCUUCCUCGCUUUUUCUUCGCUGCCUUCGUCGUUCCUGCGCCUUGUUGGGUGCCGCCGUUUUCUCCUCGGCGGCAGCUGUGCGAGCGGCUUCUAUCACCCUUGUUGCGCGCACGCGCUUUAAGACUCUCUUCCGCAUUUUGCUCUAUCUCUGGCCAUUCGACGUCUUCCCCUCUCUCCUUUUUCACCGUGUGAUGUUUCUGUCGUUGCAAGGGCCGAGCAGCGCUCAUUUUGUGUUGUUUCCUUUUGUUGUUUGCUGCGAGCCACGGUGUGGCCUUCUGUGCCCCCGGCGUUUGCUAGCUCUCCCUCUCCGUUUCUCUCGCCUUGCACACGUUGCUCUACUUUCAGGCCGCUGUGGCAUCUCUCUCUUCCAUUUUUGUCGUGGUACUGCCGUUGGUAUCGCCUGGUUGCGCCUACAGAUGUGUGUGUGUGUGUGUUUGUGAGCGUCUUGUCUACCUGCGUUUUCUGUCUUUCUGAUCAGUGACGGCAAUAGACUUGAGAUUCUUCGCUUUUUUUUCGCGUUCUCUCUUCUCAUCGAUACGUACUGCUGUUUUGUUUUUUCUUCAAGUGCUCUGAUACUCACGGAGACUCUUCCUGCCACACGAUAGCCAACACACGCACCGACCCCCCCCCCCACACACACACACACCCGUCCUACUAGGAGGCUCAAUCCAGUUUGUACAGGUACUCGGUCCCUCUUUUUUUCUUUUGAUUUCUUUUGAAUGCUAUGCUCGAAGGCGAGUUGGACCUGUUAUGUCUGUGUGGUGUUGUCGAGCCACUGCAGCUGCUACUGCUUCUUUGUUGCUGUGCUCACCAUCGCUCAUCCAUCUCCUCCCCCUCCCGUUCACUCCCUCCUGUGGUCCGACUCUCUCUGUCUCUGCCUCUUUUCUUUACCUCUUCUUCCUCUAGAUCUCUAAGCUCUGAUUUUCUUUGCUGCUUCACGAUUCCCGAACCUUUUUGUGUGCUCUUGUCGACUUCUUUUCUGUGUCACCGGUGCUGUCCCGUCACAUACUCCACCACCGCUUGUGUGUCUUUGCGUGGCUGCCGCUGCCGCUGCCUCUUCCCCUGUUUCUUUACGGGUUUCUGCAGUGCCCAGCGUCUCUUCUUCAAGUGCGCGUGCGCUUGCGGGCAUCGUGGGUGGUUUACGUGUUCCACCUCGAGAAACACAACGCUGUUAUAUGUGUGUGUGUGCAUGUCAGUGCCUGUGUCUAGGCAUGCAAGAUGGUUUUCCGUUGAUACAGAGAGUGCCCGUCACCUUCUUGACAUGUUUGCCUCUCCAUCCCUCUUGCCCCCUAAUGUGCUGUGAACGCUCGCUCUAACGCUUGUGUUUUGCCGUGUAUCGCGGAUGUGCGGAUGUGACUCACCUUUUCCCUCUUGCUCCUGCCGGCGCGGCUGUUCUUGUGGCUGUUGCUUCAUAGUGGCAAUGUCGCCGGAGUAGAGAACAGCAUCUCUGGUGGGGGCUCUCUUCCUCCCUUCCCUGUCCUCUAGUGUGUGGCGCAGCUGGACUGUGUGACGUUGGCGGAGGCCGUUUAUUUAUGUUUAGCCUUUGCUUGUGUUCUUGUGUACGGGGUUGCGCGGUGUCGUGCACUGGGCACCUUUUCGCUCUCUCUCUCUGAGACCCCUCUCUGUAUAUAUUUUCUGGCGUCUCGUGCGUGUGUGUGUGUGUAUGUGAUUCUAUCUCUGCGUGCGCGCUUCGCCUACCUUGCCAAUUUUUCCCCAUCCCCUCCCUCUCUCGUGGCGCGUUGGUUUCGGUGUUUAUAGUUUCCUCUAUUGUGCCACCACACACACCACUCUCUCUGUUGCUCGCUUGCCACUCCCUUCUUCCCUCUUUUUGAUGUUUCCGUGGCUUCUCACCUUCUUUUAUUUCCACGUCAUUUGCUUCUCUCGUCAUGUGCGCCUCCGUGCCUGUUUCUUCGUUACGUGUGUGCGUGUGGUUGUCUCUUGUCUGGUCCCUCAUCACCUCCUCCUGCCCGUUCUCCUGCAUCUUCUGAGUCCUUCCCUCCCGAAGCGAAUCGAGUGGCCAGAUGAUGCGCCCCCCCCCUCUCUCUCUCCCUCCCACACAUGCACGCAGC
rnacentral:misc_RNA from 1 species